GAAUUUUACGGACAAAAUGGGAAAUUAUAAUUUUUCGUAUUAAUGAUUCUGGUUUCGAUCGUGCAUAUGCGCGGACACAAAUCUCAUGGGCACAAAGAAUUAGAAUACGGUCCUUAGAGUUCCAUAACGUAUAACACUUUGAGGAGUUAUCGAAAAAUGCUUGGGGAUCGGGAACGUUUUAAAUUUAUUUAUGGAAAAUGCUUAAAUGGAAACAACUUUCUUUAAUCUGGAACAAAACGGGGAACUGGAACGAGCAGAAAAAGGGAAAAGGCUUUUGUUCCGAAUCCUUAUAUUUUAUUUUUUUAUUUUCAUAGAUAAUGAUCGUAGUCACUAUAGUCGACAUGGUGGUUAAUAAUGGUCGCGGCGGACAUAAUUCUACUCAAGGCGAUAGUGUUCAUCGUGCAGGACGAGAUCAUGGUCGAGUUGGUCGUCAUCGUAGUUAAAGUGAUGUAGUCGCCUUGGCUCACGUGUUAGUUCCAUUGCUUAAUUAAAGACGGAUGGAUUUAAUAAAAUUUAAAAAUAUAUGCCAUAUAGUUUGUAGUUUAUUAUUUACACAAAAAUUUAUUAAUAUCUUUAUUGUAGAUUAUUAAAAUGUUAUAUUGGUCGCCGGGGUGGCCUAGUGGGUUUAUACAGUAUACUAAAACAGAAGGUUCCAGGUUCAAUACUGGUAAUGAAAGUAAAAAUUAUUUGCUUUUUUUCAAUGACUAAGGUGUAGUAAAGACAUAUGAUAGGAUGAAUUACUAACCUGAGAAAUGCCACCCCGGUCACCGAUAGACUUGGACAGCCGGGUGCUAGGAUACUUGUCCAAUUAACCAAAAUAAAAGAUGGCCAGCUGACCUCGUGGGUUACUCAAAGAUGAUAGCGGUCUCUUGACCAGCUCUAGUAUAAUGGUGACUUUGGGGGCCGUUCAAGCACAAUGUCUACCAAUCUACAAUGGACUUGAUAGCGAUACUCCAGUGGGAGAUCCAUCGAGAUUGAUACCCUGAUGGGAGAUGAAGCUUACAAUGGAAUCGAUAAGAAUACUCGGUGGGAUAUCUGUCGAUAUUGAUACUUCGGUGUGAGGAAUACUCCGGUGGGAUAUCUGCCGAUAUUGAUACUUUUGUGUGAGAUCAUACAAUAGCCGCGAUAGAGAUACUCAGGUGGAAGAUCUAAAUGGAAUCGAUAAAAACUCAGGUGGGGGAUAUCAGAAAUAUAAAUUAGAUGACUAAUAAAGUGAGAGAGAUAUUGAAGGAGCUUACCACCAGAAAAAAGGUGAAAGCUAAAAAGGAAAAAAUUAAAAUGUUAUAUUGAUUAAUCAUAUUUUUUAAAUAUAAUAUUAAUUCCCUGGAAGAACCAAUCAAACGCAAUCCAAAUCAUAUAUUUAAA